rnacentral:ncRNA from 1 species
GGGUUCUAGAAAUUAGAUUAAUAGGGAAAGAGGUGUGAUUCCUCUACAGCCCCCGUUACUGUAAUGUAGACGAAACUUUUAAAAUACCACUGUGAUAAUCAAACUCACGGGAAGGAAAAGGAGUAGGAUGAAGCUAAGUCAGGAGACCUGCCUAUUAUAUAU